rnacentral:lncRNA from 1 species
AAUCCUCAGGGUAUGCCAGUGAGCAGCCAGAUUUGAGUAUUGUAUCCAUAGAUAUUCCCAUUACAUUUGACUAAAAAUUUUAAAAUAUUUAUUUAUUCAUAUACAUACAUACAUACAUACAUACAUACAAAUUUUAAAAUAUUUAUUUAUUCAUAUACAUACAUACAUACAUGAGGGCACCAGAUCUCAAUUACAGGUGAUUGUGAGCCACCAUGUGGUUGCUGGGAAUUGAACUCAGGACCUCUGGAAGAGCAGUCAGUGCUCUUAAGCACUGAUCCGUCUCUUCAGCCCCACAUUUGAUUAAAAUUUUUAGUUGAAGUUGUUUGUCUUACAGCUUAUGUUGUACUUGGUCCAGAUUUAGGCUUGGAUGUGAAUUAGUGGAAAUUAAAGGUGUUUGUGGGAGGAGAUGAAUCACGAACAAGCUCAACAUGGAUUUCCUGGAACCUUUUCAUAAUGACAGGCACCCAGAAGAGCACUUGCUUAUUUUCUAUACUUCAUUGCACUUAGUCAAGAAUACAACUCUUGGCCCUAUAGACAUGUUCUCUGCAUUUUUAAAGUCAAAGAUAAGAUUUUUACUUCUUUUUUUUAACUGCCAUGCCAUGAUUAGAAAUUGCUUAUUUAAAAUAAACUAUGUAGUUAUUACUGACAGUGGAUUUUUUUCUCCUUUUUGGAAACAUAUCUUCUCUACUAGGAAAUUUGCUUAAACAAGCUCAACUUAGAGACAGAGCUAGCAAGUGAGAAAAUUGUUUAUGACUUCACCUUAUGUGGGUUAGCAUGUAGUGCUGUGCAUUUAGCAGAGUCCCUCUAACUGCAUGUUUUCCAGCUUCUGUUUUCCGAUAUGUCCCUUUCCUGAGUAUGGCUUCUUACCGUUUUGGGUUUCUAUCAGGCUGACUUCAAUGAUGUAUUCUAUAGUUAUCUCAGCUCCGCUUCCUAUUAAUCCAGUUACCUUCUCAUACUACAGUUCUA